rnacentral:sRNA from 1 species
AACAUAGAUUUAAAAUAUUUAAUAAAGUCUAUAGAUCUAGACUCCAGACCUUGAUAACUUUUGAAAGUGAUUUCAAUAAUUAAUACUAGAGUAGAGGUCUAGAUCUAUUUAUAUACUCUAUAUGGAUUAGAUCUAGACUAGAUAAAAUAUAGAGCAAAAUAUUUUGUCGAAACGAAAUUACUGACAGUAUAUCUAUGCUAUGCCUAUGGCCAUUCGUUGAAAAAUAGGCUUAUUAAAAAAAAAAAAGCCAAAAAAAUAAGAUCUAUUCUAGACUCUAGAUAUAGAUCUAGGUCUAUAGCUAGGUCUCGAUAGAAUCGAGCUAUUUAAAAAUAAUUCUUUGAUAUGCAAGAUCUUGUUAAAAAUGAGUUGGAAUCCAUUCAGCAGAUCUUCUUCGUCAUCUUUGAAGAAACCAGUGUUAUCAAAGCCAGCACAAAGGGAAUUUGAAAAAGAACUUAAGAAGCUUGAUGACUUAGAAGAACUAACAAGAAGACUCUAUAAAGAUGCCAAGAAACUCACAGAAGCCAACAAUGGUAGUUAUCCUUGUUAUCU